rnacentral:rRNA from 1 species
GAUUAACGCUGGCGGCGUGCCUCAGACAUGCAAGUCGAACGAUUAAAGCUCCAUUCGGGGAGUGCAUAGAGUGGCGCACGGGUGAGUAACACGUAAGUAAUCUACCUUCGAGUGGGGAAUAACGUCCGGAAACGGACGCUAAUACCGCGUAAUGCAGCGGCAUCGCAAGAUGACCGUGGUUAAAGAUUUAUCGCUUGAAGAGGAGCUUGCGGCAGAUUAGCUAGUUGGUAAGGUAAUGGCUUAGCAAGGCUACGAUCUGUAACCGGUCUAAGAGGACGGUCGGUCACACUGACACUGAACAACGGGUCAGACUCCUACGGGAGGCAGCAGUCGGGAAUUUUGGGCAAUGGGCGGAAGCCUGACCCAGCAACGCCGCGUGAAGGAUGAAGUAUUUCGGUAUGUAAACUUCGAAAGAAUGGGAAGAAUCAAUGACGGUACCAUUUAUAAGGUCCGGCUAACUACGUGCCAGCCGCCGCUGUAAAAC